rnacentral:rRNA from 1 species
GGAAUUUUCCCCAAUGGGCGCAAGCCUGAGGGAGCAACGCCGCGUGCAGGACGACGGCUUUCGGGUUGUAAACUGCUUUUGCGUGGGACGAUAACGACGGUACCACGCGAAUAAGCCCCGGCUAACUCUGUGCCAGCAGCCGCGGUAAUACAGAGGGGGCAAGCGUUGUCCGGACUUACUGGGCGUAAAGCGUCCGCAGGUGGCGCUUCAAGUCUGCUGUCAAAGACCGGAGCUCAACUCUGGAAAGGCAGUGGAAACUGAAGAGCUAGAGUGCGGUAGGGGUAGAGGGAAUUCCCAGUGUAGCGGUGAAAUGCGUAGAGAUUGGGAAGAACAUCGGUGGCGAAAGCGCUCUGCUGGGCCGCAACUGACACUCAGGGACGAAAGCUAGGGGAGCGAAAGGGAUUAGAUACCCCCGUAGUCC